CGCUAGCCCGCCCGGUUGGUUUCCAUCGCCAACAUGGCAGCGCCGCAGGGGCUCCACGCUUCGGCCGCCCCCGAGAUUUGCGUCCCCUCGUUCGGUAAACCCCGCCAACGUACCCGAGCCCACCCCCAUGCACCACACCAACUCGUAACUAGUAAUUACUCCCUCCGUUUCUAAAUAUAUGUCUUUAAAGAAAUUUCAUUAAUGAACUACAUACGAAUGUAUAUAGA
rnacentral:lncRNA from 1 species